ensembl:lncRNA
GUGUACCUAUGAUAAAAAUUACAGACCUCUACAUGCUUUGGGUUGGUUCUUUGCUGUGCCACAUUGAUUGCAGUUUGCCCAUGGCCUAUUGGAUCCAAGCCAUGAUGACUUUCACUUUGAAGAGCAUGUGCCCCAGUGGUCCAGUCCGGAAGAGCAACAGCCAAAGCAGAAGCGGCUGGGGCUAAACUAGCAGCUACAGUCUCCUGUAUGUCUUUCUGAACUCCCCUCACUAUUCUCCUCCUUUUAGUCCAGUAACUUGACAUGGUUAACGUACCUUUCACUUAAAGCACAAAGGUAAGGCUUGUCUCUAGGAUAAACAAAAUAUUUUUGUUGAAUGUUUUGAAAAUUUUGAGGGUAUAAAGUUGAUUUUGAUUGGUCCACGGCAAAGAAAUGUCUCCCAACGUCAACAUAUGUAAGAGAAACAACCAGGAGCAGCGGGGUCUAAACUAACAACGGUCACAACAAACUAACGCUCUUAUUUAAUCAACACUGUUAAGUACAAGCAUAUUACGGUUAUAAUAUUGCAGAGAACAAUCUAAUUAUUAUACUGAACAAAAAUAGAAAAGAAACAUGCAACAAUUUAAAAUAUUUUACUGAGUUACAGUUCAUAUAAGGAAAUCACUCACUUUAAAUACAUUCAUUAGGCCCUAAACUAUGGAU